UUUAAUAAAUGCUUGCUGUUUCCUCAUAGAACAUGUAAUCUCCUUGGGGAGGACGAGCUGGCCAGUCAGUGAUCUAGAGGAUGAGCUGGCCAAUCAACGGUCUACUUGCGUGAAUAUUUUAAUGACCAGUGUACACCCACACAGAAUAGCUGCUUUUUAACAUAGCUUCCCUUCCAAUAUUGUUUAUUUAACUAUUUCACUCUCAUUUUGUAAGUAGUUAUAUUUCAUAUAAAUCUGGAAACACUAGACAGUUACUUUAAGUUAUAUUUUACUCCAAUAUAAGUCACGAGUCCCCUUUGGCACAUUGAAGUUAGUUGUGUGACCUUCUGACGGUCGGUGAAGGGAAGUUGGUGUUCUUUCUUAUGACAAAAGAGAUUAAAAUCUUUGAAUCGGUUCCUGUGUUUGUUUAGCCCUCCAUGCACUUUCCAUUCGGCACCCUCUCCUGAAGACAAGCACUCUGUCUGACGGGAGCAAGAAGGCCAAAGGGAAAGCCAUGAGAUGCGCGGAGUUUAUCCAGCCGGUAAAGGAGAAGCCAUGGACAGACUCUGCAGUGGCCCGGAGAAUGGUGACCACAGCCCUGGGGCUGCGGAGAGGUGGAGCGCUCUCACAACAUUUCUGACCGCUACAGCAGGAAUGCCAGGCUACAACUGGACGACACACCUACUGAUGUCCUGGCUAAUAAAUAACUGUCAAACCAGUGCCAUCCUAUGUCUUGUUCCUGUUUUCAAGUUCCUAGUGUUAAUGCCACUGUAGCACUCGAGUGCCUGAUUUACAGUAUAGGGCCAACCUAAACUACACUAUGCUGGCUUGGAUAUUUUAUUUUCAUGGCCAACUCAGUAAAGCUUGGAUUGGCCCCUUUUUGGGGGGGAGGGGGUUUGGCAACAGUUAUUAAUGUGUUUUACUUAGUAAUUUGUUCUAUGCCAACCACUUACAUGUCAGUAACACUCUGAAUGCGUCCAUAUAUAGAUGGAUAAGGUAAUACUCAAGAGUUGGUGAUGCAUCGCAAACAGAGGCACCAGUUGUAUAAUUCCUAUCAGUGGAGACUGUUGAGGGGAGGUCGGCUCAUAAUAAUGGCUGAAACGGAGCAAAUGAAAUGGCAUCAAACGCAUGGAAACCAUGUGUUUGAUGUAGUUGAUACUAUUCCGCUCCAGCCAUUACCACGAGCCCGCCCUCCCCAAUUGCAAACUUGCAUAGCAAAAAUAUGUAAAGAUGCAGUGACCUUAAAUCAAAUGUAAAGAUGACAUUAAAUUAACACACUGUCUGGAGAUGGGAAUAAAAAGGCAGGAUGUGGACAAUUUUGUUAGGAAAGCAAAGCAACUCUAUCAUUUAUGUUGUAGGUUUCAGAUAAAUAUAUAGGUGAUUUAAUUUACUUUUUGUAAAAAGAUCUAUGUAAAUAAAG